ACCAGGAAAUAGCCUUGGACAGUCUAUGACCCAAGGCUUUGACCACCCAACUUUAUCAUCUCGGCCAGUGGUGAUUAAACUUAAUUGUGCCUAAAACUCACCUAGGGUAUUUGUCAAAUAGCCCAGGCUAUUUGACCCCAGAAGAUUCUGAUCACCUAGAUAAGGUUCCAAAGAUCUAUGCAUUUUGUAAGCACUCCAUCCCCAAAGAAGCUGUCCUUUCUUUCUGGGUUCCCAUUGCUCCCUUGGCCUCCUUGCUGGACGGCCUUUGCCUGGCAGGGGGCUGAAUUGUGUUUGGAGCUCACUUGCCUUGCGGCUACCGGACUUCAACUGCCAGAUCCACUCUGCCUGAGAUACCUAUGCCUUUGAUAACAGAUCUCUGUUUCUGCAGUUCCUAUAACAGGAUGCUUUCUGUCUCUUUCCCAUACUGCUUCUCAUUUCUUCCAUCUUUCCUUUUCCUUUUUGUGGUCUUCCUUUUUCUGCUCCUUCCUCUGAAAUCUCAUUCCACUUAAUCUACCCAAUAGUUUGCAACCUGGUGUCCUUUAGAAUUCUGGAAUGUGAUAUGUCCCCCACCCCUGCCCCUCUUCCUGCAAAGGAUGGAUCAAUUAUUUCCAGGUUUGGAGGUUGCUGUACAUCCAUGGUAGCAGAAUGGGCCCUGCUAAACCUAACUUUCCUUUCCAGGAGAGUUUCAGGAAAGGAAUGUUUCUACAUUUUGCAUUAACCUGACCUGCCACUUUAUAUGUUUUUAGUGCAUUACUUUCUUCUUUCUAGGUGUCUACUGAGUUCUGGAACAUGGCACAGAAGAAAUGGGCCAGACUAUUUAUGGGAUUUGAUUGGGAGGAUGGUUGCCAACAACCCCCUUUCUCUCCUACCAGCAAGGUAAGAAACAUGCAUGUUGGAAAGGAAAAUUAGUCGUUCAGGUUGCUGAGGCCACUUUUAAUACAAAGCUUGGGCUAUAAACUGGAAGCAUAACUGGAUUUAUCUUACUAAGCUUUACUCUAGGAAAGUUCUUGCUCCCAACAUGGAGAGGUUUUGAUGGAACAUAACUCUGGGUAUUAACAGUGUCAGUCUUUGGAAUCACAUGCAGUAGUGCCUAAAAACUUGACAGCAGAUGGAAAAGCCUUUGGAUGAAUGUGUGAGAAGGAAACUAUCCUAACCAGCCAAUCUGCACAAAAUACUGACAUUUUUCCUGGCCAUGCCUUUGCUCAUAGUGUCCAUGGUCAUUUGGGAGAGAGAGCGCCAAAUAAUCUGAAUACCAAUGGAAAUGGACACAGGAGACACCAGAGAAAUGGAGUCCAAAUCACACAGGAUGUUAAUAAGCAUUUGAUGGACGAAUAGGAUUCUUAAGCAAACCAGUCUUAAGAACCAUUGUGUGGUGUCCUGGAAAAUGCAAUGGACAAAGGACCCUCAAACUGGAUUCUAAUCCUGGAUCUGCCAUCCUGGAUGCUUGGAAAACAAUAGUCUCUAAGCCUUGAUAAAAAGCAGAGAGCAAUCCUUUGGUGAAAGCUGUCAUGAGGAUUAAAUGAGACCAUGCAGAUGAAAGCUUCUUGUAAGGAGAGGGUAUCUAAGAGUGUUAAUUUUUGCAUUCCAUGUGAACACUACAUUUCAGAAAAUAAAAACAGUUUACUUGUGGUUUUGAGCUCUGGUUGAGAAACAAAGAAUUCAAUACAAAGUAAAAUAUGUAGUAAAGCCAAAAAACAUUUUUGGUCGUUCCUCCUUAACCUGACCAACUGUACCAAGAAUUGGAGUUCCAUCGGGUUUGCUCUGUUGUGGUUUUUUCCAUGCUAAUUUGUCUCCUUGGUGAUCAAAUCCACUCCACUAAAUUCUGCAUUAUUUCUCUUCCACAAUUUACUUCUUCCUGAAAUGCUCUUUCAUUGUGCUCCCUCCUCUCUGCCUUUUUCUUUCUUUCGGCCUAAGCUCUUACCAUUUUUUUUUUAUUUUAUCUUAAUUGCUUUUAUUUGAGAGAAGCAUUCCUGACCCCAUCCCGACUAGGUUAGAUUCCCAGAGUCCUUUCAUUAGGCACUUAAUAACUCUUUGCUGUAUAUCUACCUCACCUGCUGGGUGGAGUGUUCUGAGGGUACAGACAGAGGGUUCUUUGUUUUCUGUUAUAUCCUUAGUACCUAGUGCAUUGCCUAGAACAUGAUAUGUGCUCAAUAAUAUUUUGAACUAAUAACUGAGUGGAUAAGUGAAUUUGAUUUAAAAAAAUCCAUACUGAAUUGUUUUUGGUAGAAUUCAGUUUUAAAAAUAAUUCAAUAGUAAAAAAAUAAUUCAAUGUUAAUGAAAUUCUGUUUUGUCUUAUGAAUCAAUCUUUUUAUAAACUCACUGUAAUCAGUAGUACUUAGUACAUAUUUCAUUAACCAAGUACAAGAACACAGAUCUUUAUCUCUACUGUGAAAAUCAUAAAGAAGUAUUUGUUCCUUUUCUGUAAUUUAUAUGUAUAUGUAUCUCUCUGUGUGUGUGUGCGUGUGUAUGUGUAGUGAAACUUCUUAGUAAUGAAAGCUUAUGGAGGCAGUAUGGAUAGUAGACCCAGAAUGUGGGUUUAAGGUAUGGCCCUCAGUGAUGUUGGGCAAAUCACUUAACACCUUUGCACCUCUUUGUUCUUUGGUAAAAAAUGGAAGAAAUAAACCUCUCCUGCUCACCUCA